rnacentral:rRNA from 1 species
AGAGUUUGAUCCUGGCUCAGGAUGAACGCUGGCGGUCUGCUUAACACAUGCAAGUCGAACGGUGUCUUUCGGGACAUAGUGGCGGACGGGUGAGUAACGCGUGAGAAUCUGGCUACAGGAUGGGGACAACGACUGGAAACGGUCGCUAAUACCCGAUGUGCCGAGAGGUGAAAGAUUAAUCGCCUGUAGAUGAGCUCGCGUCAGAUUAGCUAGUUGGUGGGGUAAGGGCCUACCAAGGCGAUGAUCUGUAGCUGGUCUGAGAGGAUGAUCAGCCACACUGGGACUGAGACACGGCCCAGACUCCUACGGGAGGCAGCAGUGGGGAAUUUUCCGCAAUGGGGGCAACCCUGACGGAGCAAGACCGCGUGUGGGAUGAAGGUCUGUGGAUUGUAAACCACUUUUGAUAGGGAAGAAGGUCUGACGGUACCUAUCGAAUCAGCAUCGGCUAACUCCGUGCCAGCAGCCGCGGUAAUUC